UUAACAAUCUAUAUGUGCUUGCUUUUGUAUGCUAAUACCUCCUUUUGGGCUUCAGCACCGAUGGCUCACCCCUCCUGGAUAGCUUUCAUGUUCUAGAACACCUCUUCUCUCCCACCUACUCAUGGUGAUUUAGUAUUUCUCAGAUCAACCUGCCCUCUUCCUGUCAUCUCAUCCUAUAUUCACUUAUACCUUCCACUCAGUCCCUACCACUAACAAGCACACAAUCCAACAGUGAUUAGAUGUGUGUCUAGGUUAAGCACAAUGCACCACAGCCAGUGAAAUGAAAGAAAUAUAAAUAAAAU